UAUAUUUUCAUACUUGUCUUAAUAUUUAUUGUGAGGACCACAGCGGAAUGCACACAUCAAACAUAUGGAGAAGGGGCACCACUGCCACGUUCACAUGGGUUUCCAAAAUGAUAAGAAAGAUAGAGAUCCGGGACAACAACUGAAGCAAAUUCAGCGCUGGAACAACCACAAUUCAGUACGCUCAUCUUCCAGGAGAAAUCACGGAGCAGCUAGCUUCUCUGUCACAGCAGCUCCGUCUAGCAGGUGUCCAGUUUGGAGAAGCCACGUCCUUGAGGGAGAAGCACACGAUCUUCACGUCCAAGUUGGUUGCAUACAGCUCCAACAUCCAGCAAAGAUGAAGCAACGCGUCCAAGAACAUCCAACAAGCAACACACGGAUCCAGCACGUUCAGCUUGGGAGGUGUCACGGCUACACCUUGGAAGAACACGUCUAGCAGGCCUUCACUAACCAGUAAACGGUCCAGCAAAAAUUGAAGGGAGUCUACAACAAUGGAAGCAACUCUAUCACGGCUAGCUGGAUUGAAUAAGCAAGCAGGAGUGGUGUCAUGUUUUGAGUGAAUGAAAGCACACAGCAGCUUGGCACAUCCAUGAAAGUUGGAUGGUUUCUUGGAGAAGCUUGGUAGCAGCUCACACCCAGCACACACGUGAAAGGAGAAGGGAGCCCACGACCAAAACAAAGAAGAAGAAGACAAAGAAUGAAAUGGUGAAGGGAGCCCACUGGAAGGAUAUUCACGUAUUCAUUAGGCUGAAAAGAAGAGUACCCAUCUUAUCUUAUUUGGUACAUGGAUGAGAUAAAUUUAAAAAGGAUGAUAAUGGGAGACAAAAAGGAAGAGGCAGCAAACAUAAUAUCCCUGUCAGCAUGCUCCACACAGCUCACGUUCAGCAUAGGAGAGAAGCUUAAGGACCUCAUUUUCUUAGUGGUGGGGACACCCACUUCUUGCAUGAUUAGAGUACAAUUAUUGGGGAAGGGGGCAACAUUUUUGGUAUAGAGGAGGGAGAGUUCACGGGGAGGAACCCAUUUCUUCCUCACUCUAAGAACUUCAUUUCCAAAAUUCUCGCCCUUCUCUCUAAGAUUCCAGCACCUUGAACCGUAGGAAUUCUGUUCUGAUACUACCAUAGCCUUCGUGGAGUAGAGGGCUUCAUUUCAACCGAACAUUUACGUCGUUCCAAUCGGGGUGUAGGAUGGUUGUGCUUGGAGAAAAACCAAAGGAAGGAUUGUCGCAUGAUCUGGUGUAGAUGAAGGAAGAUUUGGAAGAACAGUUUAGCGGGAUUCAACGUUAUCUCUGCAGUCAACUAUGAGCUUAUGUAUAGAUUGUGUAGGAGGUUACGGGGUGUUACUGUAAUUGUAUGAUUAGAACAUUUCAAAUUUGAAUUUUAAAGAGUGAAUUUUGGGAUGUUA